AAUUUUAUUUUUGCUGUUGAGGCAAUUUAAAGAGGUUCUUGAAGUAAAACACUAUUAUGUUGAGAAAUGUUUCUGAGAAAUUACCUUGAAAGUAUCAAAAUAAUUGUGUAGUUGUAUCUGGAUAUUAUUUAUCAUCAUGGUAACUGACAGAUAUGUCUUUCUGACAGGAGAAAAAAAGGUUUUUACAGUGCUGAGACAGAGCAGAUCUCAAAGGAAGCCAAAAGUAAAGUGAAGACAGGAAAGAAUGUGCUCAAUACUAAGAUAGUCACAAACCCAAGGAGGUCAAGAUCUCUUACUAGAGAGGAUAUAGAACAACACAAUCAGGAACCAACCAAGCCCUUCGUGUGGAACUCAUACCACAGAGUGUAUAAUUAUCUUGGUGACCAACAUGUAGGUACAGAUUUCCCAACAGAUGGCAGCACUGUGGGCAGUGAUCCAGGAAGUGGGCACUCAAGGGGUGAUGGGCGCCCUGAUUGGGCCAAGGUACCAACUGGAGCACCUUUUAUGAAUAACGCGGCGCACUUGGAUGCCUCCCGGAGACCCCCACCUGUCCAGCCAGUCCCCAGAGUGAAGGCAGUCAGGACUGAGAGAGAUACUCCAUCCUCCCCAUUAUUUGAACAGCGACCCUGGCAGGUCCCCCGGGGGAUGGGCUCAGAUGAUGAAGCACCUUCAGAUGAAGAGGAUGUCCUCAGAUUUGCGAGGAACAUUGAAAAAUAUGAACAGUACUGAAGUUUUUUUUUGUGAUUUUUUUCCCACAAGAACAUACGCAUGUUUACCACCGACAUAUAAAUAUCAGCUUGACUUUGUGAAGAGCAUUUCAGCAACAUAUAUGAGAUAAUAUUCUGUUAUUUUAUUGGGACAGUUUCAUAUAUGUCAUGCUUUAUGAAUCUGAAUGUUUUGUCAAUGCUUUUGACAAUCUUGUCAUCACCAUGUUCAAUGUUAUAUUUCACCCAGGUUUGGCAUUUCUGCAAUUAUUGGUACUUAUUUGUUCUAACAGUGUUUAUUUCCACAGAAGUCAUCUUUCAGAAAUAUCCAGUAUGUUAGCUUUAUAAUAUCAGCUUAUUUUUUUAAAUUAAGUCAGUAUAUUUUACCUCCAAAAAAGUUUGUUUACAUAUCAAGUAAGCAAUAUUUCUUUAAAUUAACAUGUUUAUUUGCAACCUCAUACUUAAAUACAGUGCUUUAACUUCUUUUUAACACUGGCAUUUCUAAGCGAUUAUUGUUAGCAUCUCUCACAUUAGCUUUUAUUCCAUGUUUUAUCUCUAUUUUUGUUUGCAUGCACAAGUGUUGUAUAAUUUUCACUACAUGGUUAUGUAUUUCUCACUUCCUCUUGGUAAAGAAAUGCUUUAUGUGAUUUUUGUUAUAUAAUUAAAUAAUUUGCAAUAAUUUUCACUUUUUCAUUAGUUUAAGCUUUAAUGUAUUUCUCCAAAGGAGAAAUUUUUUCUUCAGUGAUAUAUUUACCUAUUGAAUGUUUAUUUUGUGAUUUAUUUUAUAUGCAUCUCAAAAUAGUCUAGGUAUGCGUUUUAUUAUUUCUCUUUCACUUUUCUCUCCUGUAAAUACUUAACAUUUUCCAGCUUCUUUUUAUCUCAGUGGAUCACGUGCAAACUUUUUUCUUUAUCACAUAAUUUAGAUCAUAUUUGACAUUUCAUGGGUAUAUUAGGUAAAAUUGAAAGCUUAAAUUAUAUAAAAUAAAUAAUUUUAUUUUUGAUUUAGUUUUAUCUGAUGUCAAAUAAAACAAGAACUUGUUAUCAAACAGUUUUUUAUUGGCUUUUUUUAUUUUCAGACCAAUGGUCAGUAGUUCCCGUGAAAAAUAAAUAGGGUAUAAUUGUUUCUAUUAGAUCAUUUAUAAUACAUCGAAAGCUUCACCAUGAUAAGAUGUAAAAUAUUCCACUGGUAGAUUAUCUGGAGCUUGGUCAGUUACUCUUGUCCCACUGACUGGACUGUAUGACCAAGGACAUUAAAGCACAUUUAGAACAGUAUCAAGUAAUUAACAUUUAUACAGCAUCUUAACUCUAACAUUUAAAGUGAAUAUUUACUCUCUUCAAAAUGUGACUACAUAGUAUGCAUUGUCAAAAAAAAAAA